GUGGGGAUAGCUCAGUGGUAGGUCGUGUGCUUAGCAUGCACAAGGUCCUGGGUUCAAUCCCCAGGUCCUUCA
rnacentral:tRNA from 1 species